rnacentral:lncRNA from 12 species
CCACAUGAUGUCCAUGUGGGAACGAGAAUUACAAGUUACAAGUGAGGACCAGGUGGGGAUCUGAGUCACCAUGUCCAGGUGAGACCCUGGUGGGAACCAGUGUCACCAUGUCCAAGUGUGGACCAGGUGAAGACGAGAGUUAAUAGGUCCGGCCGGGUCACUGUUAGUGAACAGUGUAACCAUAUCCUGAUGCUACUCAGGUGUGUACCAGAUACAAGGUCCUGGUGAGUCCCAUUGGGACCAGAGACAUGAGGACCAGGUGAGGUACCGAUGGAAACCACAGUCACCAGGUCAGGUGAGGCCUUGCUUAGGAUCAGAGUCACCACUUACAGGUGAGGUCCAGGGGGAGCCAGAGUCACAUGGCACAGAAGAGGCGAAAGUCAGGACCAGAUUCACCACGAUCAAGUCAGUCCCACUGAGAAUAGAGUAACCACGUCCCGAUGAUGCCCAGGUAGAACCACAGUUACCAGGUCCAGGGGCGGCCAACCUAAAGGCCAUGCAGUGGAACCAUGUCCCGAUGAUGCCCAGGUAGGGAAGAGAGUCACCAAGUCCAAAUGAGGCCCAGAUGGAGCAUAUUCAAUAGGUCCACGUGAGGCCCAGUUGAGGACCAGAGUCACCAGAUCCAGGUGAAGCCAAGGUGGGGACCAGAGUCACUAGGUCCAGAUGAGGCCCAAGUGAGGACCAGUGUUACCAGGUACACGUGAUGCCCCGGUGGGAAUCAGAGGCAACAGGUCCAUAUGAGGCAGGCUUCGGUACCAUGGUCAACAGGACUACUUGAGGCCCAGGUGUGGAACACAGUAACCAGGUCCAGGUGAGUCCCCGGUGGUGACAAGGGUCACCACGUCCAGGUGAGUCCCAGGGGGGGACCAAGAUCACCAUGGACAGGGGAAGCCCUUGAAUGAACCAGAGUCAACAGUUCGAGGUCAGGCGCAGGUGUCAACCUGGGUCAGCAGGUCCAAGUCAGGCCAAAGUCGGGUUCACAGUCACUAGGGCACGGUGAGACCCAGAGGGGGACCAGAGUCACCUGGUCCAGGUGAGGUCCAGGGGUGGAACACAGUCACCGGGUCCCAAUUUUGCCAGUUGAGGACCAUGGUUCACAGGGCCAGGUGAGGCCCAGAUUGGGGAUCCUCAAUCUGGAUCAGAUUCACCAGUUCCAGUUGAGGCUAAGAAGGAGUCCACAGCAAUCAUGUACAGAUUGACGCCUAGGUCGGGGGACCAGACUCAUCAGGACUAGUUGAGGCCAAAAUGUGGAGCAAAGUUAUCAUGUCCAGGUGAGUCCCAAGUAGGGAACAGAGUAACCAUGUCCCAUUGAUGCCAGGUGGGAAAAGAGUCACAAGGUCCAGACGAGGCCUAAGUGAGGAGCAGAUUCACCAGGUCCUGUUGAGGCCCAGUUGAGGACCAGUGUCCCCAGCUCCGGGUGAGUCCCAGAG